GAGGCUAAUGUUUUGAUGAACUCCUCUGGUCAGUUGUGGACGCGCUCACGUGGUUUGGGAACGCGCUGUUGGACUCACCUGCGCGCUCGUGGACACACCCAUACCUGGAAGAUUCAGGAAAUCUGGGAUUGUACACAGAAUUGGGCUGUUCAGUCGUUCUGUGUAGGUGUCCUGUCCGAUAUAGAUCCCACCGAGCCCCGUGUGUGUGUCUCAGAGUUCAUGCAUCUCCAGAAUCUGCUCUUCUGAAGUGACCAGUCCAACCAAAUAGAGUUAUUCCGGUCACGGCGUUCCCGAAGGUUUUCCUUGACCCCUGAAGCUCAGUAUUUGUGUCUGCGACGCCUCUCUGCUCCCAGCUACCCGGCUCUUUUACAGAACCCAGUCAUGGAGGAGACGGUGUGGGAGCAGUACACUGUGACCCUGCAGCGGG